rnacentral:rRNA from 1 species
CCUGCGUGGCGCAGCAGUGGGGAAUAUUGGACAAUGGGCGAAAGCCUGAUCCAGCCAUGCCGCGUGUGUGAAGAAGGCCUUCGGGUUGUAAAGCACUUUCAGUGGGGAAGAAAGCCUUGGGGCUAAUACCCUCGAGGAAGGACAUCACCCACAGAAGAAGCACCGGCUAACUCCGUGCCAGCAGCCGCGGUAAUACGGAGGGUGCGAGCGUUAAUCGGAAUUACUGGGCGUAAAGCGCGCGUAGGCGGUCUGAUAAGCCGGUUGUGAAAGCCCCGGGCUCAACCUGGGAACGGCAUCCGGAACUGUCAGGCUAGAGUGCAGGAGAGGAAGGUAGAAUUCCCGGUGUAGCGGUGAAAUGCGUAGAGAUCGGGGGGAAUACCAGUGGCGAAGGCGGCCUUCUGGACUGACACUGACGCUGAGGUGCGAAAGCGUGGGUAGCAAACAGGAUUAGAUACCCCUGUAGUC